rnacentral:tRNA from 1 species
UGCGCCGGUAGUGUAGAGGUUAUCACUGAGCGUUGCCAACGCUUAAACUCGGGUUCAAUUCCCGACCGGCGCAUC